GACGGAGGAUGCAAGCGUUAUCCGGAAUGAUUGGGCGUAAAGCGUCCGCAGGUGGCAGUUCAAGUCUGCUGUCAAAGACCGGGGCUUAACUUCGGAAAGGCAGUGGAAACUGAACAGCUAGAGUAUGGUAGGGGCAGAGGGAAUUCCUGGUGUAGCGGUGAAAUGCGUAGAGAUCAGGAAGAACAUCGGUGGCGAAGGCGCUUUGCUGGACAAUAACUGACACUCAGGGACGAAAGCUAGGGGAGCGAAUGGG
rnacentral:rRNA from 1 species